GUAACAUUCAUGAGUUUAGGUAGUAUUUUUAUUAUUAAAAGUUUCAAUCUCCGUUAAAGAUGACUGCAACUAAAUUUCAACUUUUUUUAGUUUUUGUAUCUAUAAUUUAUGGAUUUAUUAAUUGUAACGAGAAAGGUAAGUACGUAGUAUUCUAUAUUAAGUUUAUUUUAUUUUACAUUUUAUAUUCAAACAAAAUAAAUAUUGCUGAUUCAUUUAUUUUCUUGGUUACCAAUUUUAGGAUUGAGGAUUUAUUGUACUUUUGUGGAUAUUUUAUUUUGUUGGUUUGCAAAUGUUUGUUAACAAGCAUUAAAAAAAUAAUACUUCUUUGAGCAAUUCCAUUCGUAUUUCAUUUUUACCCACGAAAUUAAUAUAAAUGCGUUUCCCAUUCAUGAUAAUUAAUCCACAUUAAAAGAAGGGAAACAAGAAAUGCAUUUUUGAUUUCACUGACUAACACGUACAAUCAAGAAUUCAUAGUUUUGAUCCAAGAAAUAUUAAACUACAACCAAACAAAGUGGUUCCGCAAAAAACACGAAAUUAAUAAACAAAAUAUGUUUCCCAUUCAUGAUAAUUAAUCCACAUAAAAAGAAGGGGAACAAGUAACUGCGUUUUUCAAUUUACCGACUAACACUUGUUAUUAAGAGUUUAUAGUUUAAUGUAUUUCAAUCAAAGAAAUAAAUAAUCUACACCCAAACAAAGUUGUUUCACAACCAACAAUCACUCGUAGGUAACAUAUCAUUGCCGACAUUAUAAGGAUACCAUUAUAAAAUGUAUGCCAAUCUGUGGGAGAAAACUUUGACAUAGAAACAAUUACCUGGAAAUACAAAGAGAAAAAGAACAAAUCAAACAAAUGUUAUCAUAAAUUGCGAAUAAAAGGCAACAGUGCUUAACUAAGGUUAAUAAGAGGCAACAGUGCUUAACUAAGGUUAAUAAGAGGCAACAGUGAUUUACUAAGGUUAAUAAGAGGCAACAGUGCUUUACUAGUGCUUUUUAUGACUUUUGAACAGUGGUAUACUACUGUUGCCUUUAAUCUUAAGAAUUCAUUAACAAUAUACUAAUCCAGUUUAAAAAUAAGGGUACUCAAAUCAACUAAGCUUAAAGAAGACGAGAUCAGUUAUCUUAACAUAUUAAGCGUCUCCUGUAUUGACCAACUGGUAUAGGGAUAUACUCAGUAUAAACAGCAACAUAUCUUGAUAAUAUACAGUUCCAUUAUGUCACAUUUAUCAAUUUGAUAUAGUCAAUAAAGUCAACACCACAUAUUCAAUAUGAUGUGUUAUAAACUCACAUGUUACUUUUUAAUAAUGAUAAUAACUUUUCUUUUUAUUUGAUUAAUAGCGUACCAAUCUAUUCAAUUGAUAACGAAAGACACAAAGAACCCGACAAGGCAUACGAGAAAUGUUCGGUCUAUUAACAACUGUGCACAGUGUAAAGCAAUUUGCGAUUGUGAGUGUAUAAGACGAACUUGUGUUGAGACUAGUUGUUGUGGCGGACCCUGACACAGAACGUCUUACUGUCUUGCUUAUCUUCAAGGAAUAAUGUUAUACAAUGUAUGAGAACAAAUAAAAGCGACAGCAGUUAAUAAGCGAUGUAUUAGUGUGUUUAUUUGUGUAUUAUAAAGUUUUACGUAUCUGAAAGAGG
rnacentral:lncRNA from 1 species